CCCUUAGAUGUUCUGGGUAGCACGCGCGCUACAAUGGUCUUCGCAAACGGAUGCAUUCUCGAAGGAGAAUGCCAAUCUUGGAAUCUAUGCCUCGGUCGGGACAGUUGCUUGCAAUUUUUCGACUCGAACCAGGAAUUCCUUGUAAUCGUGAUUCAUCACAUCACGAUGAAUACGUCCCUGCCCUUUGUACACAUCGCCCGUCGCUCCUACCGAUCGAAGAGUUAGGUGAAUUGUUUUGAUCGAUAAGAUUUGACUAUGGUCAACUCUCGUUGUGAAAUUCUGUGAAUCUGACUGUUUAGAGGAAGGAAAAGUCGUAACA
rnacentral:rRNA from 1 species